rnacentral:snoRNA from 1 species
ACCUGAGACAAUUUGAGUACCAAAAUAAUGAAGUGUACAUACAAGAAGUAACUGCACUAGAUUGUAAAGAUUGGGGUGGACCUCUCUCUUAAUGUCUAAUUCCUUUGUCUUAAGAUUUGGUGUACUAUAU